rnacentral:sRNA from 1 species
UAAGAUGAUCACUCACCUGCCGCUCGAGC